UAUAUAUAUAUAUAUAUAUAUAUAUAUAUAUAUAUAUAUAUAUAUAUAUAUAUAUAUAUAUAUAAACAUUGGGAAUGGAGAGGGAUGCAGAAUAGAAAUUCUCCAUCAAGCAUUGACAUGAUCUUAGGUCACAAUAAACAAUUUUAUUUCACUUAAAAACAGAACACUACUUCAGUGUUGGUUUGCAGAAUAAUGAGGCCCUCACUGCAUUCUAUUUUCUAUCUUCAGCAAGCAUUUUCCCACUCCACCCCAUGGCAACCUGCAGAGCAUCAGCAAGCUUGGCUGGUUUGGACCCUCUUUCCCAAGGCCUGCAGGUGACUCCAGCUGUUCCUCUUGCCAUGUGGAACUGAAGAAACUGAACUAAGUCUGGACCAAGAAAAACCAAAAAAACAAACAAAAAAAAAACCUGUCCUAUUCACUACUGAGUCAAAAUACAGCUUGAGACACGAGAUGCCAGAAGCAAAUAUUUUGAAAUAUCUGAAAGCAAAGGUUAAACAUGUUGAUAAUAACACACAAUUUGGGCUUUGCUUCCCAAUUCCAUUUUCUGAUUUAAAGAUUGUCUUGUUCUCUGUGCAAAUAUUUGUUGACUUGGAAACUGAUAGAGUUGAAAUCAACAGAGAUGAAAUAAACCUUUGUCUGUGACCUUACUCUUUGGCUUAUAUUCAUUAAAAUGAUAAAAUGGAAUGAAGUAAUUUUUA
rnacentral:lncRNA from 1 species